CUGGGCUUGAUGAAUCUCAUCUGCAAGAAGAUGAAUCCACUGUGGUUCUUCCUCUUUCUGGUGUCAGCUCCCAGAGGUGUCCUGACCCAGGGGCAGCUGCAGGAGUCGGGACCCAGCCUGGUGAAGCCCUCCCAGACCCUCUCCCUCACCUGCACUGUCUCCGGAUUCUCAUUAACCAGUUAUGAUGUAGGCUGGGUCCGACAGGCUCCAGGAAAGGGGCUGGAGUAUGUUGGUGUGAUCGAUUAUGAUGGAAACGCAUAUUAUAACCCAACUCUGAAGUCCCGGCUCAGCAUCACCAGGGACACCUCCAAGAGCCAAGUCUAUUUAUCACUGAGCAGCCUGACAACUGAAGACACCGCCGUGUAUUACUGUGCAGGCAACACA